rnacentral:lncRNA from 10 species
CGAACGUGGUUUUCUCCUGUGUUCACUGUGUUUUUCACUUCUCAGAGGUUACCACCACCAGGUUAUGGACGCCCACCAAUCAGCAAUGAAGAAGGGGGGGAUCUUCGGAAGAACGGAUGAUCCUGGAAGUAAUCCGGGCACACUUACAUUUGUUGUCAACAAGAACAAUCCUUUCAUCUUCUUGGGCUUGAAAGAUGCAGAGAGGUGUUCAUAAAGAGCAAUAUCAGAUGGCACCCCAAAAAAGGAUAUGAAAGAACACCAAAAGGGAACUCUAAAGAUUUAGUUGGAAAAGUAGCACCGGGUUUACAUCAUACACUGCCUUGUAUUCCAGUAAUCUGUAUGAGUGUCUUCUUUUCUACCUGAUUAUACAGUCCUUAACUGGCUGAUUCAUCACUAUUGUCUGUAGCAUUCUACAACAAACAGUAAGCAGUUAAUAUCUGCUAAAUGACAAAAUGUACUAAAAUUUACAUUAAAAAAUAAAUUCAUGCUUACCAUCAGAACAUAA